GGCGCUGUGGCUUAGUUGGUUAAAGCGCCAGUGUUGUAAACAGGAGAUCCUGAGCUUCGAAUCUCAGCAGUGCCU